rnacentral:lncRNA from 1 species
GCUGAAUGUAUUGACAUGUAAUUUCUACAAUAAUAAGCAAAAAACUCACAUGUUGCACCUACAAAUUUUCUUUUUAUCAAACUUUAUUACAUUCUGAAGCGACACAGAAGCCAGAAAACGCCCGGUGUUUAUGUUUGACGCCGGAAGCAUACCUAUGACGUCACCUAGUGUAGGGACCAAAGAAGAUAACAUCUUUCGCGGAAUUUUCUUUAAUGAAGAUUUUACAC